AGGAUGAACGCUAGCUACAGGCUUAACACAUGCAAGUCGAGGGGCAGCAUGGUCUUAGCUUGCUAAGGCCGAUGGCGACCGGCGCACGGGUGAGUAACACGUAUCCAACCUGCCGUCUACUCUUGGACAGCCUUCUGAAAGGAAGAUUAAUACAAGAUGGCAUCAUGAGUCCGCAUGUUCACAUGAUUAAAGGUAUUCCGGUAGACGAUGGGGAUGCGUUCCAUUAGAUAGUAGGCGGGGUAACGGCCCACCUAGUCUUCGAUGGAUAGGGGUUCUGAGAGGAAGGUCCCCCACAUUGGAACUGAGACACGGUCCAAACUCCUACGGGAGGCAGCAGUGAGGAAUAUUGGUCAAUGGGCGAGAGCCUGAACCAGCCAAGUAGCGUGAAGGAUGACUGCCCUAUGGGUUGUAAACUUCUUUUAUAAAGGAAUAAAGUCGGGUAUGGAUACCCGGUUGCAUGUACUUUAUGAAUAAGGAUCGGCUAACUCCGUGCCAGCAGCCGCGGUAAUAACGGAGGAUCCGAGCGUUAUCCGGAUUUAUUGGGGUUAAAGGGGAGCGUAGAUGGAUGUUUAAGUCAGUUGUGAGAGUUGGCGGCUCAACCGUAAAAUUGCAGUUGAUACUGGAUAUCUUGAGUGCAGUUGAGGCAGGCGGAAUUCGUGGUGUAGCGGUGAAAUGCUUAGAUAUCACGAAGAACUCCGAUUGUGAAGGCAGCCUGCUAAGCUGCAACUGACAUUGAGGCUCGAAAGUGUGGGUAUCAAACAGGAUUAGAUACCCUGGUAGUCCACACGGUAAACGAUGAAUACUCGCUGUUUGCGAUAUACUGCAAGCGGCCAAGCGAAAGCGUUAAGUAUUCCACCUGGGGAGUACGCCGGCAACGGUGAAACUCAAAGGAAUUGACGGGGGCCCGCACAAGCGGAGGAACAUGUGGUUUAAUUCGAUGAUACGCGAGGAACCUUACCCGGGCUUAAAUUGCAGAUGAAUUACGGUGAAAGCCGUAAGCCGCAAGGCAUCUGUGAAGGUGCUGCAUGGUUGUCGUCAGCUCGUGCCGUGAGGUGUCGGCUUAAGUGCCAUAACGAGCGCAACCCUUGUUGUCAGUUACUAACAGGUUCCGCUGAGGACUCUGACAAGACUGCCAUCGUAAGAUGUGAGGAAGGUGGGGAUGACGUCAAAUCAGCACGGCCCUUACGUCCGGGGCUACACACGUGUUACAAUGGGGGGUACAGAGGGUCGCUACCACGCGAGUGGAUGCCAAUCCCCAAAACCUCUCUCAGUUCGGACUGGAGUCUGCAACCCGACUCCACGAAGCUGGAUUCGCUAGUAAUCGCGCAUCAGCCACGGCGCGGUGAAUACGUUCCCGGGCCUUGUACACACCGCCCGUCAAGCCAUGGGAGCCGGGGGUACCUGAAGUGCGUAACCGCGAGGAGCGCCCUAGGGUAAAACUGGU
rnacentral:rRNA from 1 species